ACCAUUCCAGACCUGCAGCAGCCACGUCCACUGUGUGGGGAUCCAAGUCCCAGAAUGUCAGCUGCCUGUCCUUGGGAACAGAGAGGCACAGAUGCGGGAGCGUGCAGAGGACGGCCACCAGCAGUCAGGAAGGGCAGCCGGCGGCCCUUCUGACCCUCCCUCCACCCGUGCCACUGGAUCAGCCCGCUCAUCAGAGCUUGGCGACGGGAGCCUCGUGGAGCCUCGGGGUGGGGGUCUGAGAUAGCAUCUCCAGGUUCCCUGCGUCUCCCUGGCAACCAGUGGCGCUGGGCACUGGGUCUCUCGUCACGGGCAGAGAGUUUAGGUUCGCAGAGGAUCCAGUGGAAAGCCCAGAGGCUCCUGCGUGCACCCUUUCCCGCAGAGCACAGCCCACGCCGGAGCAGCCUGCUGCUCACAAGUGAUGGACCAAGUCCAGCCUGCGGUUCACAUUAGGAACGGUUGGGAUUGUGACUGGAAUCACACGGGCCUCUGGAGAAAGCUGGGAAGAACUGAUGUCUGGAAGCAUGGAGUCGUCCUGUCCGUGGACCCGUGUUACGGUCUGGAGCUCAGGAGUCUCCCAAAAGCUCACGUGUGCGGCAGUGCGGGAAAGUUCAAAGAAAAAGUUUGGGUCUUUUUCCAGUGGAGUGGAAUCCUUCAGGAUGUCCAACAGUUCUGUCUCCAAGCGAGCUGGCUCAUCCCACCACCUUCAACGUUUCUCGGUGCCGGUUGCUCUGAUUGCUGUGGACCCAACCUUCCCCUCCCAACUACCCAUGUGGCAAUCAGACCUUCAAACAGGCUUGUCCUCUACCCUGUGGGAGGGCUGCUGUCACCCUUUAAAGGCACCCUUUGACCUGGGAUGUUGGCACACGAUGUGUUUUGGCAAAAGCCCCUUGUCUGGGCUCACAGCCCAUUGAG